rfam:Myotis brandtii contig209127, whole genome shotgun sequence.
AAGAAUUUAUAUAAAUUUAUUGAUCUUAAACUUAAAUGAAUUGAUUUCAGUAAACUAGCCAUGUUACAAGCCUUAAAGACAUUGAAGUCAUUAAGGUCCCUGAAAAUGGCUAUAAGA